UUGCUAGUUACCAUCAUUGAGUUGGGGACGUCUAGCGAGACUGCCAGCGAUAAGCUGGAGGAAGGUGGGGAUGACGUCAAAUCAUCAUGCCCCUUAUGACCUGGGCUACAAACGUGAUACAAUGGCUGGAACAAAGGGAGGCGAAGGGGUGACCUGGAGCGAAACCCAAAAAUACAGUCUCAGUUCGGAUUGAAGUCUGCAACUCGACUUCAUGAAGUCGGAAUCGCUAGUAAUCGCGGAUCAGAACGCCGCGGUGAAUACGUUCUCGGGGUUU
rnacentral:rRNA from 1 species